rnacentral:lncRNA from 1 species
GGUAGUGGCACCAGGGAGUCAGGAGAACACAUAAGGAAUACUCAAGUGCAGGCUGAAAGUGGUCCAGGAUUCCAUCUUCCUCUUUCUCCUUUAUUCCUAAACUUUAUCAGUAGAAGACCAUCAUUUGCUAAUUGACAGAGAAAGGAAAAGAAUUUUUCAGUGACUGCCAGUGCCUUGUCAACAGGCCGAUGGCUGGCUGCGCUUUCCGCAGUCCCCUCUGGAGGGUGGAGAGCAGUGAUGAUGAGUCUCCGGCCUCACUUUCCCGCCUCCCAUUUACACACACUUCUAAAGCCCACCAAACCCCUAAGAUAUUUAGCCCGAAGCAGAUCCAAAGGCACACAUCUUACUGACCAGAUGAAACCAUGCCUCAGAGAUACAUUUAUCUCUGGCUGCCACCACCUCCAACCACCAUUCCCUAUGUCUUUUCCUUCAGCAUAGCUGAUACUCAAGCAGAUGACUGACAAAGGAGCCCAAUCUAAAGGGCUGCUGAAGGAAGGUUUGGAGGGCCUUUUGGCUAAGAUCACAUGUAUGUUAUCCCCAUAUAAAUGGCCAAGUACAUCUGUUGGUCACCGACAAUGUGUCAGGCAUAACACAGCACAAAGAUACUCUCUCCCCUCUUUAGGCCUCACACUUUUAAAAGACAAGAGAAACAGUCCAGAUCAUUCUUUUCAGUACUAUUUGUUUCCAGCUGAAGAUGAGAGAGAUCUUUUAACACAGCCCUUCAUCCUGAUCUCUGGGAAGGAGACAAUUGGAUGGCCCUGGCCAUUCUGCUUUCUCUGGUUCCCAUAGCAAGGCCCUGCAGAACUUCUAGAACACAAUUAUGAGGAAAGAAGCUCUCAGCAUUCCAAAGCAGAAGGAACAACUGUCUUGAAUAUGUCGAAAAUUGCUGUCUUUAAGCAGAUGAAGCACCCAGAGGACCACAAUCCUCGGAUUUUAUGAGAAGACCUUCUGCCCUGCCUGCCCUUUUGAGACCUUUAUCUGAAAAGGAACCUGCAAUCCUAGAAAAGAGGUGGAGGCAGGCUUGAUUCAGUUAAGGAAGUUCUUUCUUCUCAGCAAUUACCACGCCAAUUCUGUGGAAAAGCAACAUUUGGAAGACGAGAGAAAUCCACUGUAGGAAGUAUUAGAAAUACCUGCAAUUAGGCUUCAAACAAGCAAAUGAGGCAGGUCUAUUCCCCAGGCCUAACAAGUCUUUGAGGUAUUGUGCACAGAAACAAAGUUUUUUUUUUUUUUUGAGAUGAAGUCUUACUCUGUCACCCAGGCUGGAGUGCAGUGGCAUUAUCUCGGCUCACUGCAACCUCCGCCUCCCAGGUUCAAGUGAUUCACCUGCCUCAGCCUCCCGAGUAGUUGGGAUUUCAGGCGUGUGACACCAUGCCUGUCUAAUUUUUGAACUUUGAGUAGAGAUGGGGUUUCACCAAGUUGUCCAGGCUGGUCUCGAACUCCUGACCUCAGGUGAUCUGCCCGCCUCAGCCUCCCAAAGUGAUGGGAUUACAGGCGUGAGUCACUGUGCCCAGUCAAAACCAGGUUCUGAUGUACAUCCUUGCACGCCUUUUUUGUGGCACAGAGCAAGUGGUAACCAGGUAACUUCCCUGGCCCUCUGCAUACAUGAAGGAAAUGAGAAUGUAGGUGCCUGAGGCCCUACAGACACUACUGCCUUAGGGAUAAGGGGCGGGGGAGGGGCGCUCAUGGGGGGACGCACUGAGGGCCAGGCCUGUGCCAGCCGCUUUACAUUAUUCAGAGUUUAAGUCUCACACCGACCCCUGAGCUGCUGGCUCUUCCCUUUUCAGGGCAGGAAAAGUAAAUGACGACAGCCUGUGUCCUCUCCAUGACACCACUCUGCCUCCAUGGAACCACUCUGCCCCCAUGGAUCUCUCCAGUUUUAAGUCUGGGGAAAUCUAUCAAUCACACAAUUUCAGUUAGCAUUCCAAGAACUAGGGGAAGGCCCGAGUAAUCUAUUCAAAGACAUGCUUCAGAAAGAACACACCGACCCCAUGGAGAGUUAAACCUGAUUACCAAGAAGCAGGAUAGUUAGGUGUUUCCGCUAUUUACAUAAUCAUUGUAAAUAUAAGUUACAGACUAAUUACAAUGAUAAUUAUGACAAUGAGCCUGGCAUGGAGGAAGAGUUUAAUAAAUAAUAUUUGAUGAAUGAAUGAGUUCAUCUUUGAGUUCUUAAUCUCAAAACAGUACCAGAAAGAACAAAUGAGAAGUCUAACACCUUAUUAAUUUGAAAAUAAUAAUUUAAGAAAAUUCUUAUGAUUGGCUAUUAAACUUUUGGCAGAAUAGCAGUAAUUAUCAUAAAACAUACUCUGAAAUUAAUUCUGAAAUCUUGCCUUAAUGUGUUUACAUAAACAUAUUAGAUGUAUACAUUCAUGAAAAUCAACCCAUCUACACUCAACUGAAAAACAGAUGCUUCAACUGGAGAAAAAGGGAUUUUAUCUCUCCAUACCCAAAGCUAUCUUAAAUUAGGACUUUUAACCUGUUGCCUUCGUGCGCAUGUGCAGUAGCUGGAUUAACAGGAGAGAAAGCAACAGCCCAAGAACCGACCCUCCUGCAUCAAAUGAGUAAACCAAAAAGGAAAGGGGAUUUACGCAAACACCACAAUGCCUCCCCGGGAGCCGUUCCAGUCCAUCAGAACCAAAUCCACCCUUUCAGCGGCGUGGAAAUGUACGGAUACCGAACAGACCUUGCAUUUACAAUAAAUAAACAUUACGUACAUUUUCCAAAAUGAGCUUAUAAAAUACAACAGGUAUGGGACUCAGUU